UACGUAGGCAGCGAGCGUUGUUCGGAAUUACUGGGCGUAAAGAGUGUGUAGGCGGUGCUCCCAGUCUGUUGUGAAAUCUCCCGGCUUAACUGGGAGGGUGCAGCGGAAACUAGAAUGCUAGAGGGUGGGAGAGGUAAGCGGAAUUCCUGGUGUAGCGGUGAAAUGCGUAGAUAUCGGAAGGAACACCUGUGGCGAAAGCGGCUCACUGGACCAUAACUGACGCUGAGGCACGAAAGCUAGGGGAGCAAACAGG
rnacentral:rRNA from 1 species